rnacentral:rRNA from 1 species
GAAUGACUCUCGGCAACGGAUAUCUCGGCUCUCGCAUCGAUGAAGAACGUAGCGAAAUGCGAUACUUGGUGUGAAUUGCAGAAUCCCGUGAACCAUCGAGUCUUUGAACGCAAGUUGCGCCCGACGCCUUCUGGCCGAGGGCACGCCUGCCUGGGCGUCACGC